AGUCAGUGUGGUGUCAAAAAAGGCAUAAACUAAACACUUUGCAGCCCUUUCCUGCCCUUGACUAUGAUGUCUUUGGUGGAGGAGCUACAUAAGUAACAGUG